GCUGACGUAGUUCAACUGGUAGAGCGCCUGCCUUGUAAGCAGGAUGUCGAGGGUUCGAGUCCUUCCGUCAGCACCA
rnacentral:tRNA from 1 species